GACGAACGCUGGCGGCGUGCUUAACACAUGCAAGUCGAACGGAAAGGCCCUGCUUUUGUGGGGUGCUCGAGUGGCGAACGGGUGAGUAACACGUGAGUAACCUGCCCUUGACUUUGGGAUAACUUCAGGAAACUGGGGCUAAUACCGGAUAGGAGCUCCUGCUGCAUGGUGGGGGUUGGAAAGUUUCGGCGGUUGGGGAUGGACUCGCGGCUUAUCAGCUUGUUGGUGGGGUAGUGGCUUACCAAGGCUUUGACGGGUAGCCGGCCUGAGAGGGUGACCGGCCACCUUGGGACUGAGGUACGGCCCAGACUCCUACGGGAGGCAGCAGUGGGGAAUAUUGCACAAUGGGCGGAAGCCUGAUGCAGCAACGCCGCGUGCGGGAUGACGGCCUUCGGGUUGUAAACCGCUUUCGCCUGUGACGAAGAGUGAGUGACGGUAAUGGGUAAAGAAGCACCGGCUAACUACGUG
rnacentral:rRNA from 1 species